GUUCUGUCUGUUCAUUGGCCCCUGUUUUCCCAUGUCCAUGUAUUUAUACCCUGUCUGUUUGUUCAGUCGCUGUCGGUCGUUGUUUGUGAAUGGAUGUAUGGAUCGUUUCAUGUUUUGCUGUUCUUGCUCCCUGAUAAUAAUUCGUGUUCGUUCCCCUUCGUGGAUGUUUGUCAACUUGUGUUCACCCAGGCAGCAGGCGGGCACUGUUCAGAGAUCAGAGAAUUUUGGCCAAUCAGAAGAGCUAGUUUGGACGCCUCUCCAUUGGCGGAACAUCACGCACGAACAGGGGAAAAAAAAAAUUCCCUAGCUGGCAGUGGCAAAUACCAGUAAAGGAAGGAAUUGCUGCCACCUGACGCCAAUGAUCGGUUGUAAAUCUGCUGUGAUUGGAGGAGAGGAAGCUUUGUGGGCAAAAGCAGCACCAUUCCUCAGAUCAGUUAUUUGUUUGUAAACUUUUGUUGUAUUGUUCUAUACUAUACAAAUUUAUAUAUUUGUUUCUUUGGGAUUAGUAGAGAAGUGGGUGCCAUUUCCUUUUGAUUUAGUUUUCUCUUGUUUUAGCUGAGAACUGUUAGUGUAUUUUUAUUGUACUAUUUUUUUUUUCUUCAUAUUGUCAUGAUCUCUGCUUUUAUUUGUUAU